GACGUAGGUGGCAAGCGUUGUCCGGAAUUACUGGGCGUAAAGGGUGCGUAGGUGGUUUCUUAAGUCAGAGGUGAAAGGCUACGGCUCAACCGUAGUAAGCCUUUGAAACUGGGAAACUUGAGUGCAGGAGAGGAGAGUGGAAUUCCUAGUGUAGCGGUGAAAUGCGUAGAUAUUAGGAGGAACACCAGUUGCGAAGGCGGCUCUCUGGACUGUAACUGACACUGAGGCACGAAAGCGUGGGGAGCAAACAGGAUUAGAUACCCUGGUAGUCCCUGAG
rnacentral:rRNA from 1 species